rnacentral:ncRNA from 5 species
ACCUGGUUGAUCCUGCCA